rnacentral:rRNA from 1 species
CCUACGGGAGGCUGCAGUGGGGAAUAUUGCACAAUGGGGGAAACCCUGAUGCAGCGACGCCGCGUGAGUGAAGAAGUAUUUCGGUAUGUAAAGCUCUAUCAGCAGGGAAGAAAUAGCGACCUUUGGUUCGCCAGACGGUACCUGAUUAAGAAGCCCCUGCUAACUACGUGCCAGCACCCGCGGUAAUAUGUAGGGGGCAAGCGUUAUCCGGAGUUACUGGGUGUAAAGGGAGCGUAGACGGCAGCGCAAGGCUGAAGUGAAAUGCCGGGGCUUAACCCCGGAACUGUUUUGGAAACUGUGCAGCUAGAGUGCAGGAGAGGUAAGUGGAAUUCCUAGUGUAGCGGUGAAAUGCGUAGAUAUUAGGAGGAACACCAGUGGCGAAGGCGGCUUACUGGACUGUAACUGACGUUGAGGCUCGAAAGCGUGGGGAGCAAACAGGAUUAGAUACCCCAGUAGUC